CCCAUUUACACAACACUAAAAUCCUACUAGCCACCACACGUACACAAUAGAUGUAGUAGCGGACUUAGCCUAAAACUUAUAGUAUCCUAAUAUUUAUUAUUCUGCUGUAAGGAUAUUAAAAACAAUAUUUAGUUUUCUGCUAGUGUGAAAUCAAGUAUCUUAAAUGCUUCAUGGUACUAGCCAUGUCUAUAUUUUGUCAUCUCUAUUUGUUGAUUAUUCUACUAGAGUGAAAAUUAUUCUUAAUAGGAGUAUUCUGAUUUUUUUGGUAUAUUUAUAUACUUGCCCUAUCGGCGUAUCCUUGUUUUCUGAAAAUGCCGUAUCAACGUAUC
rnacentral:lncRNA from 1 species